GACGAACGCUGGCGGCGUGCUUAACACAUGCAAGUCGAACGGUGAAGGGGAGCUUGCUCCCCGGAUCAGUGGCGAACGGUGAGUAACACGUGGGCAACCUGCCCCAGACUUCGGGAUAACGCUUCGAAAGAGGUGCUAAUACCGGAUACGAACUCCUUGGGCAUCCCGGGAGUUGGAAAGUUUUUUCGGUCUGGGAUGGGCCCGCGGCCUAUCAGCUUGUUGGUGAGGUAACGGCUCACCAAGGCGACGACGGGUAGCCGGCCUGAGAGGGCGACCGGCCACACUGGGACUGAGACACGGCCCAGACUCCUACGGGAGGCAGCAGUGGGGAAUAUUGCGCAAUGGGCGAAAGCCUGACGCAGCAACGCCGCGUGAGGGAUGACGGCCUCGGUGUAACCUCUUCUAGCAGGGAAGAAGCGAAAGUGACGGUACCUGCAGAAGAAGCACCGGCUAACUAACGUGCCAGCA
rnacentral:rRNA from 1 species